ACGUAUUCAUAAAUAUAUCAAUAAGUAUACUAUAUAUACACACACAUUCAUAUAUGCGUGAAUAUUCAUGUAUAUGUAUAUAUAUAUAUAUUAAUGUUAUAUUAUAUAUGAGCAGUGUUCAUGCUCUGCAUAUACUACUGCUAAAUUAACCAUAUAUACAAGGUGUACAACUCUGAUUAAUUCUGACUAUAUACUGCUGUCUUAUUCAGAGGAAUAAAUAUAUUGUUUAUAAACUUCGGUUUACUUUUAUCGUUUAAGUUUCUCUUAAAUCAUUAUCAACAACAGGGCGGCUUUGUGAUAAUCAUUGUGAAUUAUUAGUUUCAUUUGGUUUAUUAAAUAUAUCCAAUUAACAAGAAAGUUUCGUUGCACUCAACGUCUUCAGUGUUGUUGCUCAUGAAAUUCAUGGCUCUUUCAGCGUUUGCCAUUGCAACGUCUCAUUCUCAAAUUGUUAUUUAUUAUUUCGUCUUUCCAUCUAUUAUUGUUGGCCACAUUGAUAAUCUACGUCAAGAUUCUAGAGGCUAAUAAGUGCAAAAUCAUCUCACAAAUUACAAAAUUGUAACAUACUGAAAUUAAUGAAACUUAAAAAUGCUACAUAUAAAUCAUAGAAAUUUUCAUUAAUUAUCAUAAAUUUUAUGACAACCGUUAUGAAAUAUGUACUAAUGUUAACUGUUUCAUAAGCAGUUUUUAAACUACAUCACGUUGAUUGGAAAUUUUAAGGUAAUCUUUUCAGGGAAAUCAGAAUAUUCCCAAAUUACAGGUGCAGUUUUCUCAAAUAUUUAUCAUAAACUACAAGCAAAAUUCUCAACGAUUGAAUUCAACCAAACGCCUAUUUAGCUAAAUCAUCAAUAAUACUAUUAAUUAAUUGACGUAUAUAUAUAUAUAUCAUAUGGUAUAUGUACGUAUGUAUAUAUAACAGUAAUGUAUGCAUAUGUAUGUAUGCACGUAUAUAUACAUAUAUAUAUAUAUAAAUUUUGGAAUCAUUCUUAAAACCGGUAUUCAAUGGUUCGGUAUUCAAAUAAUUCCAUAAUUCGCAAACUGUCAUAUGUUUGCCGCGAAUUUGCCAAAAAGCAAAAAAAUGUAUUCGAAGUUUCCUUUAUAUCUGUAUUUGUACUUAUGUUUUAAAAUACCAUUAUCGAAAGAAAUUCAUUAAAACAAUCAUUACAUUAGUCUUUGAUUUCUACGAAAAUAAAGUGUGAGCAGUUGUUUUUAAUAUGCUAUGAAAAGUAUUUGAUCGUAAAUUAUUACGUUGGAAUAACAAGCAUACAUUUAUAAAAUCACAGUUAUAAAUAAAACCCAUCGAAAUGUUAUACAAUAAGUAAUCAUCUCCUUAGGGGUCGGUUGAGUAUACAAACUGUUUCUUCAUUUGCUGUUGCGUUCUCUCUUUAUAGUCUACAGCUAGGUUUUGUAACGGAAGGAAGAACUUCAAAUGGACAAAGGCAAGCAUUUGCCAGUAAUAUAUUUCUUCUAUCCAAUGACUUUUUUUUAAGGAAGGAAAUAAGAUACGAUUACAUAUUUCGAAUCCAGCUUAUAUACCAACACUAAAUCAAAUGUACAAAUAUGCUAUCUUUCAAGUGAAUCGGAUUAGUACAGUGAAAUACGUUAAUAAUUACGCGGUGUAGAGACGAAAUAUUGUCACACGCCUGUUUUAAUUCAGCAUACACGUGCAAUGUGGUUUAGUGUUUUGUAAAAAUCGCUUCCUUUCUAUUUAUGUUUUAAGUUGUUGAUGUUUCAAAACGCGUGUUUUUGACGGUCCUAAAUUCAAGUGUUGAAAACAUGCAAUUCGUGGCAUCAUCAGGCAUUUAACUAUGAUCAAGUGCAUCUAUAACGUCUGUAUGGUUCUGCUUUUUAUCUUAUUAUUUAUGCGUAUUUGCACUUUUUAUUUCACAUUAGAUAACCAGUUUAAUUUAUCAAGAAAAAUAUUUUGUUUCGUUAUUAGUUUAACAGCAAUAAAAUAAUUUAGAUAAUUAUUAGCUUGAAUGAAAUUUGAACUUUCUCAUUAACAUUAACACUGUCUCAAUAAUCUUAAAGUGAUUAUUUAACAAUAUUUGAGACGCUUUUGAAAUUGAAUUUUAAGUUAAAAUUAAGGAUUACACAACAUGCGCGAAUACUAUGGCAGAAACUGCUUUCUGAACAGUAUUUUAUGGUAUUAAAUAAAAUAUGUGUGUGU
rnacentral:lncRNA from 1 species